rnacentral:rRNA from 1 species
GACGAACGCUGGCGGCGUGCUUAACACAUGCAAGUCGAACGGACAGGCCCCUUUGGGGGUACUCGAGUGGUGACCGGGUGAGUAACACGUGAGUAACCUGACCCUGACUUCGGGACAACUUUAGGUAACUGGAGCCAAUACCGGAUCGGAAUACUUGCUUCAAGGUGAGGGUUGGAAAGUUUCGGCGGUUUUGGAUGGACUCGCUGCUUAUCAGCUUGCUGGUGUGGCAGUGGCUUACCGAGGCUUUGUCGGGUAGCCGGCCUGAGGGGGCGACCGGCCACCUUGAGUCCUAGAUACGGCCGAGACACCGACGGGAGGCAGCAGGGGGGAAGAUUGCACGAGGGGCGGAGGCCUGAUGCAGCAGCGCCGCGUGCGGGAUGACGGCCUUCGGGUUGAAGACCGCAUGCAUCAGGAGCGAUGCUUGUGUUGACGGUACCUGCAGAGAAAGCACCGGCUAACUACGUG